GGGGUGUGCUCAGAGCAGAAGGCCUGAAGAAUGGCUUCUCUGUUUACAAUACACCCAGUGGGAAUCCGGAGUCAUAGUGAUGAGGAAAACAAAAUUUAUGGCCUCCCUAUCAACAAAUGCCCUACACAU